rnacentral:rRNA from 1 species
GACGAACGCUGGCGGCGUGCCUAAUACAUGCAAGUAGAACGCAGUUGCGAACGGGUGAGUAACGCGUAGGUAACUGCCUCAUAGCGGGGGAUAACUAUUGGAAACGAUAGCUAAUACCGCAUACUGUGCGAUGGACCUGCGUUGUAUUAGCUAGUUGGGGAGGUAAAGGCUCACCAAGGCGAAGGUCCAUAGCCGACCUGAGAGGGUGAACCGCCAAACUGGGACUGAGACCAGGCCCAGACUCCGUCGGGAGGCAGCAGUAGGGAAUCUUCGGCAAUGGACGGAAGUCUGACCGAGCAACGCCGCGUGAGUGAAGAAGGUUUUCGGAUCGUAAAGCUCUGUUGUUAGAGAAGCGGUAACUACCCAGAAAGGGACGGCUAACUACGUGCCAGCAGCCGCGGUAAUAC